UCUUGGAUUUAGACUUUAAGACAUCACUGUCAGUCAGUACUUGCCACACCAAAAAAAAAACAAAAGAACGGUUUUAUUGCAUACUGUGUAAUGAACAAAAACCAGCAGUUCUUUUAAGGCACAUAAUCACCAUUAUUUUCCCGUAACAAGGGAACUUGGUUUCACGUAACCAAGACAUGAGGAAAACAAUGAGUAGCAGUUGAAGAUGAAGGACUGUCCCCUACUUUCAGGUGUCCAUUUCCAUGAGUACCAACUGAGGGGAGAGCUGUUGGCUAGAUGCUGUGGGCUAGAGCGAGGUUUUGAAACGGCAGACCUAACAAUUCUAGUUAUGACAGCUUUCUGGGAACAAAGCAUUCAAAGAUAAAUAAACUUUUUUUUUGAGGGGAGGGGGAUUAAGUGAAGGUGCUGACAGAUUUGUGUGUGUGUGGUUUGUUUGUGUACGUGUGUGUCAAUGUGUAUGAUCUGUGUAUUUGUGACUAGCUUGUGUGUGUAAAUGUCUAUAAUGCAUGAUGUCCAUGGGUGAGUGUGUGUGAGCGGGUGUGGUUGUGUGUGUUUGUGUGUGUGUGUGUGAGCCACCAGUCACUCGCUCUCCCUUUACCUCAUUCUCUCUCUCUUCCAGUACUAGAGAGAAGAAUACAGAUGAACUACAGUAUCUGGAAGCGAACGUUGAGUCCUGUUAAUGUCAUUAUCCACCCACUUUCCCUGAAGAAGUUCGGUCCACAUUUUGGGGAAAGGGGGGGAAAUCCAUCCUUUAGUGUGUUUUUUGUACUGGGUUCACAUUCGCUGCCGCAGCGGCAUAAGGCACUGCACCAAAGACAAGGUCCAAGCACAUUUUCCUGCAAGAAUCUCUGAUGCUCCUUGUCGGUAAGAGGACAGAGCACCGUGUGUGUGUGUGUGCGCGCGCGUGCGGCGUGUGCCUGUGUGUGUGUGUGUGUGUGUGCUGGUUUAUGGGGACCCGCAGGAUGGUCUCAGUACA